AUGCUCCCCUUCCUCCUCUCCCUCCUUCUCCUCACCGGCGCCGCGGCGGGGGUACAGGGCCACGACGACGCGGCGGCGCGGCGGACGAUGGAGGAGUUCGCCGGCUUCCCCGCCUCCGACGACGGCGAGGGCGGCCGCGCCUCCCCCUUGCGCGUAGACUCCGAAAGUCUCCAGCGCCAGAUUGAUGAACUGGCCUCGUUCUCCGACUCGCCGGCGCCGUCGGUGACGCGUGUUCUGUACAGCGACAAGGAUGUGCAAGCUCGAAGGUAUAUUAAAGGGAUAAUGAAACAGCUUGGCCUCUCUGUUCGAGAAGAUGCCGUUGGCAACAUAUUUGGCCGCUGGGUGGGUUCUGAGGCAGAACUAGGAGCAGUUGCAACUGGUUCUCAUGUUGAUGCCAUUCCAUUUUCAGGCAAAUAUGAUGGGGUCGUUGGUGUUCUGGGUGCUCUUGAGGCAAUCAGUGUGCUCCAAAGGUCUGGUUUCCAGCCAAAAAGAUCCUUGGAGGUUAUUAUGUUUACAUCAGAGGAGCCUACACGAUUUGGAAUUAGCUGCUUGGGAAGCCGCUUAAUGGCAGGGAGCGAAGAACUAGUUCGAUCACUAAAAAGGACAGUUGACAACCACAAUGUAUCAUUUGUUGAUGCUGCUGACUCUGCUGGCUACAAGAUACACCCAGACGAUCUACAUAAUGUGUUUUUGAACCAAGAUGCAUAUUUUGCUUUUAUAGAAUUGCACAUUGAACAGGGCCCCAUUUUGGAAAAAGAAGGCAUCCCAAUUGGCAUUGUAACUGCCAUUGCUGCUCCUGCAAGUAUUAAGGUGGAAUUUGAGGGGAAUGGGGGUCAUGCUGGAGCAGUGCUAAUGCCCGCAAGAAAUGAUGCUGGAUUGGCGGCAGCUGAGCUGGCAUUAGCAGUUGAGAAAUAUGUUUUGGAAUCAGGAUCGAUAGAUACAGUUGGAACAGUUGGUAUUCUGCAGCUACAUCCCGGAGCUAUCAAUAGCAUCCCAAGUAAAUCACACCUAGAAAUUGAUGUAAGAGAUAUUGAUGAGAAAAGAAGGAAUUAUGUCAUUGAGAAGGUUCACAAAUCUGCCAUUGACAUAUCAAAGAUCCGUGGAGUAGAACUAUCGGAAUUCAAGAUCAUCAACCAGGAUCCGCCUGCUCUGUCUGACAAAUCAGUCAUAAACGCAAUGGAAUUUGCUGCAAAACAGCUGGGCCUAGAAUACAAAUUGAUGAUAAGCAGAGCUUAUCACGAUUCACUCUUCAUGGCCAGAAUAUCACCAAUGGGUAUGAUCUUCAUUCCCUGUUACAAAGGAUACAGCCACAAGCCCGAAGAGUAUGCGUCGCCCGAGGACAUGGCAAACGGGGUUCAGAUGCUAGCCUUGACAAUGGCGAAACUAUCCCUGGAGUGA
rnacentral:rRNA from 1 species